rnacentral:snRNA from 1 species
GGCUUUGUGUGGUGGUAGUAUCCUAGUUCAUGAGGUUAAGCUAAGGGGUGAUUAUUGUUAAUUGAAGACUUUUCCCAAUACCCUUUGGGCUUGAAAUACAGUCUGUUAAUAAUUUUUGUCAGCUUUCUUUAGAG